AAUGGAUGGAAAAUAAUAAUUUUCAACAAAUUGGAAAUCGAAUUACCCAAAGUGAUUAAUUGCAAAAGAAGUUCAAUCAUUAUCAUUUAACUUUGAUGACAGUAAGCAAGUGAAUAUUCAUUAUGGAUGAACUAUUAUUAACGAGACUGAAACUUCUCGCCACUCAAAUAGAAACUCUCUCGAAUCAAGCUCUUAGUCUCGGCUCUCUGCACAAUGACUUAAUCUACAAUGCAGAAGUAAUCAAGACUAAAUUGCAAAACCUCUCGACGAGAUUAAACGAUGAUUUACAUAAUUACUUCAGAAUGAAUAAAACGGAGAUUUCAGCGACAAAUGGGGAACCUCGAAGUUUUCGUAAGAGACGGUUUUCACAACGGGAAGAACGUAAAGAACAGAGAGAAGAUACAACAUCAAAAGGAAGUAAUACGACAGAGGGUGAAGUUGUCUCGAAGAGGAUGAAAGUACCAUGCGUGUUUUGCAAAGGCGAUCACUACAACGACCUUUGUGAUAAAUAUAAAACAGCCAAGGAACGAAAAUCACGGUUAGGAGACAGAUGUUACGGAUGUCUCUUGAGAAAUCAUCGGAUUGCGCAGUGCUAUAACAAUAAAAAUUCUUGCUAUUAUUGUAAAAAACGUGGUCUACAUCACAGAGCAUUGUGUCCUCAGAAAUUUCCAUCUAAAAUCGAAACCACCACUCUAACAGAGGGGACAGAAGAUGACAUACGGUUCUUCAAACAGCAGUAGUGAUGGCACGAGGAGAUAGGAACAAGGAUAAACAGACACGAUGUCGUAUACUA